AUUUAACUGUUAGAGCUAAUAAAUAUUUUAAAUAUAAUUUUAAACAUAUAAAUUAAAAAGAUUAGAAUUAUUGGUGAGAAAAAAAAUAGUUAGGGAUUUGAAUUCGAAUCUGACUAACAAUCACAAAACUUAUACUACAACAAAAUAUAUUUUUACCGACGUUUUUUAGACGACGCUUUAUUCUAGCGUCUUUAAUACUUGAUAUAUACCGACGCUAUGAUUAAGCGUCGCCAAUAAAUAAGUAUCUUGACGACGCUUUCAAAGCGUCGUAAUUAAUUAAAUUAUUUUUUAAUUAUUUUAAUUAGGGUUUUAAUUAGCUUAUUUUUAAAUUCUUCCGCGUGAACUUCAUUACAAGCUCUCAACAAUAUAAUAAAUAAAUUAAUAUUAAAUUAUUUUUUAAUUAAUUUAAUAUUAAUU
rnacentral:lncRNA from 1 species